AUUGAACGCUGGCGGCAGGCUUAACACAUGCAAGUCGAACGAGUGGCGGACGGGUGAGUAAUGCUUGGGAAUCUAGCUUAUGGAGGGGGAUCACUACGGGAAACUGUAGCUAAUACCGCUUACCAUAGGAUGAGCCCAGGGGGGAUUAUGGAGUUGGUGAGGUAAAGGCUCACCAAGUCGACGAUCCCUAGCUGGUCUGAGAGGAUGACGAGCCACACUUGGCCUGAGACACGGCCCAGACUCCUACGGGAGGCAGCAGUGGGGAAUAUUGCGCAAUGGGGGCAACCCUGACGCAGCCAUGCCGCGUGUAUGAAGAAGGCCUUAGGGUUGUAAAGUACUUUCAGCGGGGAGGCGUUACCCGCAGAAGAAGCACCGGCUAACUCCGUGCCAGCAGCCGCGGUAAUAC
rnacentral:rRNA from 1 species